rnacentral:rRNA from 1 species
ACCGGUCUAAGUUCGGAUUGCAGGCUGCAACCCGCCUGCAUGAAGUCGGAAUCGCUAGUAAUCGCGAGUCAGCAUAUCGCGGUGAAUACGUUCCCGGGUCUUGUACACACCGCCCGUCACACCAUGGGAGUUGGCAACACCCGAAGCCGAUGAGCUAACCCGCAAGGGAGGCAGUUGUCUAAGGUGGGGUUGAUAACUGGGGUGAAGUCGUAACAAGGUAUC